GGCAAUCGGCGAUCCCCCACCGUUUCUGAUAUUUCUCUGCCCAAUUUCACGCACGCAACACCACAGACAUACAUAUUCACGCAGUGAUCAACAAUUAGAGGUCGUUCGUCUUUGAUUUUGAUAGGUUUUUCCGUUGGAAGUUUCGAAUUUGGGGCGGAAUUACCUACUUUCACAGUCAACGAAGAUUUGAACUGAGAGAAGGCAGAAUGUCAUCAUCGUAAUCUUGAGAUUCUCUGAUGAUGUCAAAUUUUAACUCGUAAAAGUUGGUCUGAUCGAAGAAAAUCAUGUGGUUUUCUUUCUGGAGAUCCAGAGAUCGAUUCACUUUGGAUGAACUCAAAUACUUAACCGACCAGCUGAUGAGAGUUCAAGUUGUUAAUGAUCUUAACAAGGAUUUUGUGAUUGAGGCAUUGAGAUCAAUUGCGGAGUUGAUAACAUAUGGCGACCAGCAUGACACUAAUUUCUUUGACAGGUUUUUUAUGGAGAAGCAAGUCAUGGGGGAAUUUGUACGAAUACUGAAGAUCAGUAAGAAUGUGAUUGUUUCGGUUCAAUUGCUACAAACGAUGAGCAUUAUGAUUCAGAACCUGAAAAGUGACCACUCCAUAUAUUAUUUGUUCAGUAAUGAACACAUAAACUUUCUUAUAACUUAUUCUUUUGACUUCCGGAAUGAAGAGCUACUGUCAUACUACAUAUCUUUCCUCAGAGCAAUCAGUGGAAAGUUGAACAAGAAUACCAUAUCUCUGCUUGUUAAGACUGAAAAUGAGGAAAUAGUUGCCUUCCCACUUUAUGUUGAGGCAAUUCGUUUUGCUUUCCAUGAAGAGGGCAUGAUUCGCACUGCAGUUCGUGCAUUGACACUAAAUGUUUAUCAUGUCGGAGAUGUAUCUGUUAAUAAAUAUAUCGCCAGCAUCCCCCAUGCUGAUUACUUUUUGAACUUGGUUAAAUUUUUUAGAGAGCACUGCAUCAGCUUAAAUGGAAUGGUAUCGCGUACCACAGAGAGCCAGGGUCUUGAAUCAACUUCUAGCAUACUCUCUGCAGUUGAUGAGAUUGAAGACAAUCUUUACUAUUUCAAUGAUGUAGUAUCUGCUGGGAUUCCAGAUGUUGGAACGCUGAUUACCGAUACCAUGUUGAAACUCCUGAUAUUUCCUCUGCUUCUUCCUUCACUAAGAAUUGAAGUUUCUGGCGGAAAGAAGUUCAGUUCUGUUACUUCUCUUUACUUGCUGUGUUGCAUCUUGCGGAUUCUCAAGAUUAAAGACCUAGCAAAUACUGUUGCUGUUGCCCUGAUUUGUUCUAUUGAAGGCCAUUUGCCAAAUUCUGAGGCUAAACUCAAUGGCUUCAGGGCGGACCAUGAUGAAACUCAUGAGAGCCAUGUAGAUGAUGAGAAGCCAAGAGGAAAUUUGGAUUCUAGUAGCAUAAUAGUUUCUGUUCCAAGUUUAUCUAUUUCACCAAGCGUUCAACAUAAUUGCUGGGGUUCUGCUUCAGUCUUAAGGGAUGCUUUGAUCUCUUACAUCACGAGUGGUGAUGAUGUUCAAGUGGUUGGUUCUUUGAGUGUUUUGGCCACAUUCUUGCAAACUAAAGAGCUUGAUGAAUCGAUGCUAGAUGCUCUUGGAAUCCUUCCGCAACGUAAACAACAUAAGAAACUCUUACUGAAAGCCUUGGUUGGUGAGGAUUCUGGUGAAGAGCAGCUUUUUGCUUCAGAAAAUUGCACAUCGAAGGAUGGUAGCGAUGGUGAGCUAAAUAUUUACCUACAAAGGUUAAAGGACCAGUAUGAAGUGUCGUGUUCCUAUCAGGAAGUUGGAGAAAGCCCACGUGUACAUAGAUAUCUAGUGCUAGAUGCGUUGAUUAGUCUUUUUUGUCGAACAAACAUAUCAGCAGAUACUUUAUGGGACGGAGGUUGGCUUUUGAGGCAAUUGCUUCCGUAUAGUGAGACAGAGUUUAACAAUCAUCAUCUUCAGUCCCUCAAGGAUUCCUAUAAGAAGAGCUGUAGCCAACUCCUUGAUGAGGCGAGAGGAACCUGGCCUGAUCUACUCAUACAAGUGCUAUGUGAUGAGUGGAGAAAAUGCAAAAGAGCAAUCGAGGCUUCAUCUCCACGAAAGGAACCCAAGUCCAUACUCUUCCCAACAAAGAAGUACUUGCCUAGUGACGUUAUGCCCGCUGAAUCCUCUUUUGCUGCUGGUGAAACAAUGAGCGAGUGUAUUAAGGUAUUCGUGCUUCUUCAUCAGCUCCAAAUUUUCUCAGCUGGUAGAUCGUUACCAGAUCAGCUUCCUAUCCUUCCUCCAGCUGACUUCCCUGAAAAUUCCCGAGCAAAAUCUGCUGGUCUGAAUGUUAUUGGUCCAAAGCUGAGCACUGAAUUAAAUCUUGUUGAUGCAGUGCCUUGUAGAAUUGCUUUUGAAAGGGGAAAGGAACGUCACUUUAGCUUUUUGGCAAUUUCUAUGGGAACUUCAGGAUGGAUAAUCCUUGCAGAGGAAUCGCCUCAGAAACCUCGUUAUGGAACUGUUCGUGUUGUGGCACCUUUGGCUGGAUGUAAACCAAGAAUAGAUGAUAGGCAUUCAAGAUGGUUACACCUUCGAAUCCGUCCAUCUACUUUACCAUUGACUGAAACCGCCAAGAAUGCCGCCAACCUUAAACUGAAAUCAAAAUCUUUGGUUGAUGGAAGAUGGACCCUUGCAUUUCGGGAUGAACCCUCUUGCAAAUCAGCUUUGACCAUGAUUCUUGAAGAGAUGGAGUCACAAUCCAGUGAAGUAGAGAGAAGACUGAGACAUACGAUCUCUGAAGAAGAAACAUGAACACUUGCAAACUUCAUUUUUCAAGUCUCGGAAAUAAGCCUUUUCAACCAUACGAAUAAUGGGUUCUAACAUGCAGCCAUCGACCGUUUGUGUAAAUGUCCAUAAGACGGACAUAGCUUGGGUGAGUCAGGCUUAUUUGGAUCCUAUUCCUAUUCCUAUGUGAGAAGAAUGUAUAUUUUCAAGAUCAAGUGUUUGGAAAAGUCGUUGAUUUCCUGAACCUAUAUGCAUGCAACUCGAUGACUGAUUCACUUCAGCAUCAUCAAUGUGCAAAGUUAACGUUAUUAGAAAUAGGGUGUUGUUAUAUGCACACUCGUUUAUAUCAAA